GGCUUUGUGCGUUUGUGCUUCCUUUCCUCAGUUAAUAAUCUUUACGACGAUGCACAUACUCUGCGAGAAAUAAUAGCACAUGAAACGGAUGGAGGCAUACCAGACAUUUUGCGUAUUUUCUCCCCAUUUACCACUUGAACCCACGCUUGUGGCUGCAUAUAUUCACCAUUUCAGCAACCCACUUUUUCACUGCUCGCAACGGAACCAAAAUCCACGCUCCUCCCUACUCUGCAUCUCGCUCCUCCAUGGCCGCAACGUCUGAGCAUGAUCUCCCAUGCUAGCUGCUCCUUGCUUCGAUCCCUUGGAUUCAUCAAUUCUUACUCGACAUCCAACAUCAGUGUGCGAUGAUCUCUACCUUUAUGUUUACUAUUUUCUACAAAAUAUUUAGUUAUCUGCACAUUUUGAUUUGAGCUACUAUUAGUACUACAAUAUGGAUGAACGUUCCUAGCAGAUUGCUGACAUUAAGGAUUGAUCUGUUAGAUUGUGAAUUACAGAUUUUUUCAUUCAGAUUUCCUACAUCAACUACAACGUUUGUCUGGAGCUUCACCACAAGCCUUCUGGUCCUAGAAAAUCGACGCCUCACCUAGAUUGUCACCAUGAUUUCUAAGCCGAAGUGCGAAAGAUCCUUCUAAGAAAUUCAUGGAUCCAGGAGUUGGGCCAAUCCGUAUCAUGUAGCGCCUUCCCCUCUUUUUUAAAAUGCUACAGUUCCUCUUACUUUUCUGAGGCCUGUAUUUUUUUCCUGGAUCUGUUAUGAGUAUAGUCCUUUAAACCUUACAAUAAUCUUUUCUACUCACGCCUUUUCAACUUUUUAGAUGACUGAAGAUGGGGACUUUGAGAGUGCAAGAAGAUAUUCAUGUAGACUUAAAGUAUAACUCUCCCAGUGUGAUAAAAAUCAAACCUUGGAUGGUCAGCUUACACAAGUAAAGGAUAAUUUCACUUUGCAGAAGUAAAGUAUUAUUGCCAACAAGAGAUUUUAUUUGCCAAAAGCACCAUGAUAUAUGGAAGUAAUGCAAUGAUUCAUUGAAGAUGGCUGAUAACAUGUACACUGCUACGUCUUAUUGGAAGUUGGCACAACAAUAUGUUGAGCUAGAAAAUCUCGAGUGUGUUUUGUAGGAAUCAAUGGUUAUUUAAAUAUUUCUUGCAAAGCUAUUAGGCAUUAAAUAUUUCUCGCAAGGAAAA